rnacentral:rRNA from 1 species
AGAGUUUGAUCCUGGCUCAGAAUCAACGCUGGCGGCGUGCCUAACACAUGCAAGUCGAACGCGAAAGUGGAGCAAUCCAUGAGUAGAGUGGCAAACGGGUGAGUAACGCGUGGGUGACCUGCCUUCGAGUGGGGGAUAACGUUCCGAAAGGGACGCUAAUACCGCAUGACAUUCUGCCUUUGAAGAGGCGGCAAUCAAAG